GGCUAAGCCCUUUUAUAAACAGGUAGGCUCCACCUCUGGCUUUUCUAUUGUUCUACCUAUUAACUCUUUCUCUCACCCUGUACAGACAUUUUAAAAAGAACGAGCAAACACCACAGUCACUGUCCUCUGCGACCCCAAUGACCUCUCUUAAAGGUCUUGCAUAGAUGGAAAACAAACCGAGGUCUAAGCCAAUAGUUCACCUUUAAGAGCAUUUGGCUUGAAAUGAAGAGUGAAAUUUGGGCCAGGCAGAGGAGCUGGAACUGGGUGUUAUUCCAGGGAAGCUUACCACUGCAGAGGUAGCAGUGGCAAUACUUCCCUCCCACUUUUUUUCUCUCCCCAUAAAGUACAUUUUAAGGAAGUGGAGUUCCUCUUAGCAGCCACUCAUGUUCAAGACCAUAUUGAGUACAACCACCACCACUGACCUUUCCCCCACAGGAUAUGGGGAAGGUUGGGAGCUGAGCAUGGGUGUGGGAUGGUGGAGAGUGGCUUGCAGAUUCAGGUAGGUAGCCGUGUUGGUCUGACGCAGUAGAAAUAUAUAAAAUAAUAAUAAUAAAUUGUCCAGUAGCACCUUAGAGACCAACUAAGUUUGUUCUUGGUAUGCAGAGUUUGUGUGUUCAAGAAAUGGACCUCAGAGAAAUCCCUCAUCCUAGGGGGCGUAGGAUGGAAUUCUAUGUUGUGCUCUUCUUAUCAUUCUGCCAGCUCAAGCAUUACUGCUUGCCCGGUGGAACAAUCUCCUCUGCUCCCCAUCCCCCGCCUGCAUGCUUCUCCUGACCCCCCACCCAGCAGAUUUGAGGGAGGUGCACGUGGGGAGAAGACAGGGGGGAAUGCCUCAUUGUGCUAGCAGGAGUCAUUGCACUGGCUUCCACAAUUGCAGCUGGUUAAUUAAAUCCUUUAAAGCCCUAAACGGCCUCAGUCCUGUAUACCUGAAGGAGCGUCUCCACCCUCAUAAUUCAGCCCGGACACUGAGAUCCAGCACUGAGGGCCUUUUGGCGGUUCCCUCGCUGCGAGAAGUGAGGUUACAGGGAACCAGGCAGAGGGGCUUCUCGGUAGUGGCGCCCUCCCUUCAGAUGGCAAGGAAAUAAACAACUAUCUGACUUUUAGAAGACAUCUGAAGUCAGCCCUGUUUAGGGAAGUUUUUAAUAUCUAAUGCUGUAUUGUUUUUAACACUCGAUUGGAAGCCGCCCAGAGUGACUGGGGAAACUCAGCCAGAGGGGCGGGGUAUACAUAAUAAAUUAUUAUUAUUAUUAUUAUUAUUAUUAUUAUUAUUAUUAUCAUAAAUCCAACCUAAACAGUUGUUCUACUACCACUUUUUUGAACCUCGUGCCUCCUAAUGAUAAGUUAGAUACCAAGAUCAAUGGGGGUCUUCUUAUUUUUUUAAGAAGGGGCCUUAUCACUGCUUCAGUCAAGGCAGCUAGUGAGCAACUGAAAUGAUAAAUUUACCACCAAAGUGACCAGGUUAAAACAGUUUACUAUGGCUAGAUGUCACCAGCCAACUAGAGAAAAUAUUAAAAGGACCAGCAGCCACCCUGUCAGGCCUAUUGGAGGCGGUGGCCGGCUGGGCCUUGGAGUUCCCUAACCUAUUGGUAUUGGGGGACUUUAACAUCCAUGCUGAUGCCACUCCCUCCUCACAGGCUCUGGACCUGGUGUCUUCCAUGGCGACACUAGGGCUCUCCCAGUUUGUUUCGGGCCCCACACAUCAAGCAGGCCACACGCUGGAUUUGAUCUUUGGCGUAGGUAUAGAUGUGAUCAUGUCUCCUUCGAUGAAGGUGCCAUGGUCUGAUCACUACGCUCUGAAAGCCAGGAUUGACUUUCCACCCCACCCUGCUUAGGUGGCGAGCCGAUUGGGGCUCGCCCGCAGAGGCUGUUGGACCCUGAUCGCUUCCGCCAAGCCUUGCGGGACCUUGCGCCCCUGGCGACUCAUUGACUGAGCUUGUUGAGGGCUGGAAUACCCAGCUCCUGGCAGCCAUCGAUGAGAUCGCACCUAAGCGCCCUCUGCGACCCCGCAGAAACCGGGCUCCCUGGUUUACCGAGGAGCUCCGGAAAAUGAAGCGGGACCUCAGACGGCUAGAGCGAGUAUGGCGGGGUGCCCGUGACGGAGCCUCAAGAACAUCUUAUAGGGCUUUUAUGAAAACCUACAAGAUGGCGGUGAAGGCUGCUAAGAAGUCAUACUUCUCGGCCUCCAUUGCAUCCGCAAGCUCUCGCCCGGCGCAAUUAUUUAGUAUAAUCAGGUCUUUAACGUCCCUUGAGGGACAGCCAAAUUUAAAUAACAAUUUGACACACAGCUGUGAGGCAUUUGCGAGCUUUUUGCGGAGAAGGUCUUGUUGCUCCGCCAUGACCUCCCGGCCAAUUUGGAUACAAUAAAGGAACUGGAGGCCCCUCGACUGUCCUCGGGUCCAGUAUUGGACCACUUCGACCGGAUAUCCCCAGCCGAUGUGGACAGACUCCUCCGAGCUGGAAAGCCCACCACCUGUCCUCUCGACCCGUGCCCGUCUUGGCUGAUUAGAGCGUGUCCAGACGAGGUGCGGGCCCUCCUGGGGAUAUCAUCAAUUUGUCCCUUGGCACGGGGACAUUCCCAGGGGAACUGAAGGAGGCAGUGGUGCGCCCGCUCUUAAAGAAAACAUCAUUAGAUCCUUUAGAUCUAUCCAAUUACCGCCCGGUUUCGAAUCUUCCGUUCCUGGGUAAGGUGAUUGAGAGAGCGGUUGCUGAACAGCUUGGUGGUUUUCUGGAUGAAACAUCGGCUCUGGAUCCAUUCCAGUCCGGCUUCCGCACUGGUCAUGGGACCGAGACGGCUCUGGUUGCCCUAACAGAUGAUCUUCGUAGACAGCUGGAUCGAGGCGGGUCGGGGCUGCUGAUUCUUCUAGAUCUGUCAGCAGCUUUCGACAUGGUCGAUCACGAACUUCUAGACCACCGCCUUGCCGACGUGGGGAUCCAGGGCACAGUCCUUCAAUGGCUGCGCUCGUUUCUCUCUGGUCGGGGACAGAGGGUGGCGCUUGGGGGGGAAUUGUCAUCGCGCCACUCCUUGGUGUGUGGAGUACCUCAGGGUGCGAUACUCUCCCCGAUGCUUUUCAACAUCUUUAUGCGCCCCCUCGCCCAGCUUGUUCGGAGUUUUGGGCUGGGUUGCCAUCAGUAUGCCGAUGACACCCAACUCUAUCUGUUGAUGGAUGGCAGAGGUCCUGUGGCUGGGACGGGGCGAUAUGGGAUUGGGGGGGCAACUCCCAUCUCUUGCGGGGGCGCAAUUAGUGCCAGCACCGUCCGUUAAGAGUUUGGGUGUAAUCUUCGACACCUCCCUUUCCAUGGAGGCGCAGAUUGCAGCUAUAACAAAGGCGGCAUUUUUCCAUCUCCGCCAAGCUAAGCAGUUGGCUCCUUACCUCUCUCGCCCUGACCUAGCCACUGUGAUCCAUGCGACGGUCACCUCCAGACUGGAUUAUUGUAACUCGCUCUACGUGGGGCUGCCCCUGAGACUGACCCAGAAACUCCAGCGGGUGCAGAAUGCUGCAGCGAGAUUCCUUACGAGGUCUUCGCUGCGAGAUCACAUUCACCCGGUGCUAUACCAGCUGCACUGGCUCCCGGUGGAGUACAGGAUCAGGUUUAAGGUGCUGGUUUUAACCUUUAAAGCCCUAUACGGCCUAGGACCCUCGUACCUACGGGACCGCCUCUCCUGGUAUGCCCCACAGAGAAACUUACGGUCUUCGAAUAAAAACAUCUUGAAGGUCCCAGGCCCCAGAGAAGUUAGGCUGGCCUCAACUAGAGCCAGGGCUUUUUCGGCUGUGGCUCCGAUCUGGUGGAACACUCUGUCACAAGAGACCAGGGCCCUGCGGGACUUGACAUCUUUCCGCAGGGCCUGCAAGACAGAGCUGUUCCACCAGGCCUUUGGCCAGGGCACAGCCUGACCCCUCCCGCGGCAAUCUUCGCGGAGCUCUGGCCCAAUGGUUGCCAGUGGCUUGAAUUAAUUAAUUUUAUAACGAAUGAUUUUAGACUGUUGUUUAUGCUGUACUUUUGUACUGUUUUAUUGUUGUUAGCCGCCCUGAGCCCGGCUUCGGCUGGGGAGGGCGGGAUAUAAAUAAAAUUUAUUAUUAUUAUUAUUAUUAUCACAAAUGAAUAACAGGGAUAUAGGUUUCAAAGAGUUUAAAAGCACCUACAUCUACUGGAUUUCAGCCACGGCUUAAACAUACCCGUUUCUCAAAGGGAGCUAUCCCUGUAGUGAUUUGUCUAAAUAAUAUAUAUAUAUAUAUAUAAUUAUUAUUAUUUAUACCCUGCCCAUCUGGCUGGGUUUCCCCAGCCACUCUGGCAGCUUCCAGCAAAAUAUUAAAAUACAAUAAUUCAUCAAAUAUUAAACGCUUCCCUAAACAGGGCUGCCUUCAGAUGUCUUCUAAAAGUCAGAUCGCUAUCAAAGGAUUUACAUUCUAAGAAUUGGCAUCCAAAUCACAACAGCCUCUCAAACACAAGAUGCUAUUAUUUUACAAAUAAUGGACAUUGUCCAAUGUGGAUUCAACCUGUGCUGAUUUAAAUUUGGCUGCCCUUUUAAAGAUCAUUUUGAGUAUUUAACUGCACUGGCAGCUUAGACAGCAAUAAUAGUGAGAGGCUGUGCAUGCUCUCUGUAUACGUGCAGAAGCUGGCAUGAGGUGCAUAACACAGGAUGCUGACAGUGUCAGUUUUGUCUAUAAUAUUCAAAAGGAAUCUAGUUUCUAGCCCAAGGCUGCAAAAGUAGAAUUGAAAGGGCAUGGGCAAUGCCUGGCAAAAUGUCAGUGAAAAGAAGGUGAUGAAGCAGUAUUUCCUGGGCUUGGAGGCAAAGCUUUUAUACCAUGGCUGUUGGAAAAGUUAUGUGCCAAAACAGAUGCAUGCAAAUCAAUAUAAUCUGCAUGAUUUACAUAGGUUUAAUUACUAACACCGAAUAUCACCCAUGCACUUAAAAGAACUGCCUUUAUUAUAUUGACUGAGUCUGCCCUCAUGACAUACCUUCAAGUUUUCCAUCUGAUCCGAUAUCUACAUACAAGGAAAGUUAGAAUUGUCAAAGCAGUGAUACAUGGAACAUCAUAAGAUAAGCAUACCAUAUUGUGGUUGUUGCCAAUAUGCCAAUUUAGGAACCGAAUGGACUUUAUCUCCUGACCAUCCAUUGGACUUUCUCUUGAUAUGUUCUGUUUGCAUGAUGUGUUGAUCUAUAGAAUUACACUUUGUGAGAUAUUAUAUGCUGAAUUGUGUUUGAAAUAGAAGUCACAUGGUCAAAAACAGCCUGUUAAGUUGUGUGUGUUGUUACCGGGAUUGUAUUUACGUAACCUAAAGUUUAGUAGUCUUUCUCAUGAUCACUCUAAUACCCAUUUUAUAGAUGGGGAAAUUAUGCUGAGAAAUGCCUGGUGUCUCCAGACUUGCCAGUAUUAUGCAGGAGGGAUACAUGCACAGACUGGAAAAUGAAGUUUGCACAACUAAAGUAGAUUAAAGGUCUCCGUCUUCCUGAUGCACUAAAUCCAAAACAAAGAAAAGAAAAGAAUCGGGACUUCUGCAGUUUGGAAAGUAAUAGGGAAAUGCAAUGAAUAGUGUGGGGUGAAUACUGGGGGAAAGAUUCCUGCAUUGCAGGGGGUUGGACUAGAUGACCCUCGUGGUCCCUUUCCAGCUCUGCAAUUCUAUGAUUUUGUGAUUAACAAGAAACUAAUUAAACACCCCAAAGAAAAAUCAGGAGAAAUGCAAGUUGUUGUUGUUAGAUUUUAAACAUCUUUAUUGAAAGUUCAAAAAGCAUAUAAUUAUAUGUGCACUAAACAAUGUGAGGCGCAAAUAAAAAAGAGAAACAGAAUCCGUGCAGAAGGGAAAAUAAAGGGUGGAGGAGAGAAAACCUAAAACUGUAUACUUUACAAGGUUGUUAUUGUACUUCACCAGAUCUUAACCUAUUACAGCGUUUGUAAGAAUGGAUUCGAAAUAUCACUGAAUUUGUCCAUGGCAAGUCUGCGUUUAUAUGCAAGUUGUUCAUCUGUUGCAAGUUUGUCUAAAUCUCCAAUCCAAUCGUAGAAGAGAGC